rfam:Gossypium raimondii Chr05_contig_216, whole genome shotgun sequence.
UGUUAAAAAUUUCAUCUAUUUGUCUUGUUAAAAACUAUCAUGGCUGAUGGAAUAACCAGAUAAGGACGUAAUUUUUAACUAUAGAAAUAAAUGAAAUCUUUAUCA